GACGAACGCUGGCGGCGUGCUUUACACAUGCAAGUCGAACGGAAAGGCCCUGCUUUUGUGGGGUGCUCGAGUGGCGAACGGGUGAUUAACACGUGAGUAACCUGCCCUUGACUUUGGGAUAACUUCAGGAAACUGGGUCUAAUACCUGAUCGGAGCUCCUGCUGCAUGGUGGGGGUUGGAAAGUUUCGGCGGUUGGGGAUGGACUCGCGGCUUAUCAGCUUGUUGGUGGGGUAGUGGCUUACCAAGGCUUUGACGGGUAGCCGGCCUGAGAGGGUGACCGGCCACAUUGGGACUGAGAGACGGCCCAGACUCCUACGGGAGGCAGCAGUGGGGAAUAUUGCACAAUGGGCGGAAGCCUGAUGCAGCAACGCCGCGUGCGGGAUGACGGCCUUCGGGUUGUAAACCGCUUUCGCCUGUGACGAAGCGUGAGUGACGGUAAUGGGUAAAGAAGCACCGGCUAACUACGUG
rnacentral:rRNA from 1 species